GGCCGACUGGCGAAAUGGCAUCGCGUCUGACUACGAUUCGGUUGUUAUCAGGAGAUUGCAGGUUCGACCCCUGCGUCGGUCA
rnacentral:tRNA from 1 species